rnacentral:rRNA from 1 species
UUGGCAGGGCGGCGGCUAUAAUGCAAGUCGAGCGCAGGAAGCAAGCUGAUCCCCUUCGGGGGUGACGCUUGUGGAAUGAGCGGCGGACGGGUGAGUAACACGUGGGCAACCUGCCUGUAAGACUGGAAUAACCCCGGGAAACCGGGGCUAAUACCGGAUAAUACUUUUCUUUGCAUAAAGGAAAGUUGAAAGGCGGCUUCGGCUGCCACUUACAGAUGGGCCCGCGGCGCAUUAACUAGUUGGUGAGGUAACGGCUCACCAAGGCGACGAUGCGUAGCCGACCUGAAAGGGUGAUCGGCCACACUGGGACUGAAACACGGCCCAGACUCCUACGGGAGGCAGCAGUAGGGAAUCUUCCGCAAUGGACGAAAGUCUGACGGAGCAACGCCGCGUGAGUGAUGAAGGUUUUCGGAUCGUAAAACUCUGUUGUUAGGGAAGAACAAGUUGGGUAGUAACUGACCCGGCCUUGACGGUACCUAACCAGAAAGCCCCGGCUAACUACGUGCCAGCAGCCGCGGUAAUACGUAGGGGGCAAGCGUUGUCCGGAAUUAUUGGGCGUAAAGCGCUCGCAGGCGGUCCUUUAAGUCUGAUGUGAAAUCUCGCGGCUCAACCGCGAACGGUCAUUGGAAACUGGAGGACUUGAGUACAGAAGAGGAGAGUGGAAUUCCACGUGUAGCGGUGAAAUGCGUAGAGAUGUGGAGGAACACCAGUGGCGAAGGCGACUCUCUGGUCUGUAACUGACGCUGAGGAGCGAAAGCGUGGGGAGCGAACAGGAUUAUAUACCCUGGUAGUCCACGCCGUAAACGAUGAGUGCUAGGUGUUAGGGGGUUCCGCCCCUUAUGCUGAAGUUAACGCAUUAAGCACUCCGCCUGGGGAGUACGGCCGCAAGGCUGAACUCAAAAGAAUUGACGGGGCCCGCACAAGCGGUGGGAGC